AAUGGAGUCACGAUCCUCAGCAAUGAGGGAG
rnacentral:sRNA from 1 species